rnacentral:rRNA from 1 species
UACGUAGGGUGCGAGCGUUGUCCGGAAUUAUUGGGCGUAAAGGGCUCGUAGGCGGUCUGUUGCGUCGGGAGUGAAAACUCAGGGCUUAACCCUGAGCCUGCUUCCGAUACGGGCAGACUAGAGGUAUGCAGGGGAGAACGGAAUUCCUGGUGUAGCGGUGAAAUGCGCAGAUAUCAGGAGGAACACCGGUGGCGAAGGCGGUUCUCUGGGCCAUUACUGACGCUGAGGAGCGAAAGCGUGGGGAGCGAACAGG